CAAUUGCUUCGUGCAAUUAAACCUAGACUAGACUAGGAAGGUGCGCUGCAGCUGGAAUUGCUUCAUGCAAUUAGACUGCUCUUUCAGUUUCCUUUCUUUCACGUUACUUCAUUGCAGAUUUGAUUUCUCUUUCUUUGCUUCUCCUGGAAUUCAUAGGUUCUCAAUCCUGUUUUUUUUUAUUACCCAGGAUCAUGGCGGCCGCGAUGACAGGCAAGAUGGCGACGGCGGCGACGACGGUGGGCGAUGCGGGGGAGGAGGCGGCGGCGUCAACGGCUCGAGGAGGACGACGCAGAGGAGACAGGGGAUGCGGAGGUGUCUCUCUGAUAUAAGAGAAGGAGAAGGCAAGCGACCUCUGGACAAGAAUCUUCGACGGCGCAUGAGUGUCAGUCCACAUCGAACCAGCAAGUUCUAAUCGUCGUUGUUCGCCUUCCAUCCGUGAGCACUCCACAGCGAACUGAUAUGUGUUCGAUGGAUAUGCAAGGAGACAAAUCUCAUUAUUAAUAUUCUGCCACAUAUCAUCAGAUUGUGGCUACUAUUCAGUUAAGACCGUUUCUCUAUCAGUGGCUCUGAAAGUUCCUUCUAGAGAAAGUUAUUGUUGUAGGAAAUAAGACAAUUUGGAGCAAGUUGACCUAGAAGUGCUAACAGGAUUAGAGGUGAUGUAGCAAAUGUACAUUUUUUUAGAUGAUGCAACAUCCUACUAUGAAACAUUUGCAUUAAAGAACUCACAUGGCAAGAUGCCUAUUUCUUUGUCUUAUUUCUGUUUUCUCAAGACAAGCUUGUUUCCUUUGGUAAUAAGCCUUUUAGAGAAGAGCAGCUUGCUACAAAGGAGAUUCAAGCGACUGGUCCAGCUCUAGAUUGAGAUUUGCUUGGCCUUGAAACAUCAGCACUUACCUAAUUAUAUAUCGAUCUGUUUUCUAAUUUAUUGUGCAACACCAUUAGGAUUAUUUUUUACUAUGGCAUAUUGUUUGCAUCAGCAGUAAGAUUGAGGAGCAGCUGAUCCUAAAGAUACUCCAGCAUGUUAAUUAUUGUCCAACAUGAGCACAAAAGAAAUGUAACAUUUUCCUCCAUUUAUUGGAGUUUAUACAAUAGAAAGGAACAACCAAACAAGUAAUUAUGUACGGUCGUUGUCAAGUUUCAAACAAAUUCAUCAUGGGCAUGCCAUUAUAUAAUGUGGGUGGUCAAAAUUCAUUUAC